rnacentral:rRNA from 1 species
UACGGGGGGGGCAAGCGUUGUUCGGAAUUACUGGGCGUAAAGGGCUCGUAGGCGGCCAACUAAGUCAGACGUGAAAUCCCUCGGCUUAAUCGGGGAACUGCGUCUGAUACUGGAUGGCUUGAGAUUGGGAGAGGGAUGCGGAAUUCCAGGUGUAGCGGUGAAAUGCGUAGAUAUCUGGAGGAACACCGGUGGCGAAGGCGGCAUCCUGGACCAACACUGACGCUGAGGAGCGAAAGCCAGGGGAGCAAACGGG